AGCCCGCCUAUAUAAGGACCCGGCCGCCAGCGUGCGGGAGCUACAAGGAUGUGGCAGCUUUGGGGCUGCUCCGUCAUUUAGCCGUUUGCGCUCUUUAGCUAUUUAAACGCUCCCGCACUGGCCUUUCCGGCGCGCUUUCCCCGAGCUUCACCUUCUUUUUCUACCUAAGUCAAUCAGGUAGCAUUCAUUAAGUGCCUCUUAUGAACUAAACGCUGGGCGCAGAAAUAAGCCGAUCCAAUCCAGUGUGCAUUUAUGAAGCGCCCGCACUGGGGCCGAGCGCCAGGGAUACGAAGAAAGGCAACGCCAGUGCCUGCCCUCGAGAGCUCCCAGUCUAACGGGGGAGAUAGCGUGCAAACAACUGCGUGCAACAAGGUGCGAAAAGAAGAGAUUGGCCGUAGUCUCAGAAGGAAGGCGCUAGCUUAGGGAGACUGAGAAAGGCUUCUUGGCAGAGCCAGAGACUGCUUUGCUCUUCAGUAGGCUUGGUGGCUGCCAGAGAAAAACCACUUGCAGGGUGGUGACCAACCCAUUCCAAUAGAAGAACUCUCUAAAAAUGCUAGUGGGGCAGCCCAGUGGGGAAGUAGGCGCCCUCCUUCGGGGAAGGUCUUCAAGCGGUGGCUGGGUGCAUAGAAGUCAGGUGUGAGGACGUUAGGGAGUCUUCUGUUCCUACCCCGCUGGGAAGAGGUGCUUUUCUAAGAGGAAUUAGGAAUGAGACUUUCAACUUCAUGGCUGAAAUGCACCGUCUCCUUAUUAAGGAAUGCUUCCUUCAAAGCACAGAGGUCACCUCUUGAAUAAGACCUUUUCUCAUCCCACCAGGGUGUCUGAAACUUGAAGCUGUUUUGGUUGAACUAUUCAUGAAGUACCUGGUACCUCAGUGUAGGAGAUAGAGAUGAAGAGAGCAGUCCGUCUACCAUACCACUGCCACCACUCCAGCAACAUGGGGUGAAUAGAGAGGGCAAAGAUCACAUGCUGCUAAAGUGAUGCAUUUAUUUAGGUGAAGUCUGCCUUAUCAACCAGCCUUGGAUGUCACUACCUCCAAAGGAAUACUAUACCUGUACAGAGGGAUCUGAGGAGGCAGCCACAGCAGCAGAAAAAGUAUCUGCAUGGAGGACGCAAGCUGGAUCUCCAACAUUGAUGUGGAUAAAGGCGUGACUUUUGGUCCUUUGCCACUGUCCCUCAGAGACAAGUGUGUGAUUCUCAUCUGUCUUCAAGAGGCACACUGAUCAUGAAAG